AGUAACAGUUAGAAAUAGACUGCUAAUACCGCAUAAGACCACAGCACCGCAUGGUGCAGGGGUAAAAACUACCGGUGGUACUAGGAUGGACCCGCGUCUGAUUAGCUGGUUGGUGAGGUAACGGCUCACCAAGGCGACGAUCAGUAGCCGGCUUGAGAGAGUGAACGGCCACAUUGGGACUGAGACACGGCCCAAACUCCUACGGGAGGCAGCAUG
rnacentral:rRNA from 1 species